rnacentral:rRNA from 1 species
UAGGGAAUCUUCCGCAAUGGACGAAAGUCUGACGGAGCAACGCCGCGUGAGUGAAGAAGGAUUUCGGUUCGUAAAACUCUGUUGUUAGGGAAGAAAAAAUGUAUAGUAACUAUAUACAAAAGAGACGGUACCUAACCAGAAAGCCACGGCUAACUCCGUGCCAGCAGCCGCGGUAAUACGUAGGUGGCAAGCGUUGUCCGGAAUUAUUGGGCGUAAAGCGCGCGCAGGUGGUUUAGAAAGUCUGAUGUGAAAGCCCACGGCUCAACCGUGGAGGGUCAUUGGAAACUAAUAAUCAUGAGUGCAGGAGAGGAAAGUGGAAUUCCUAGUGUAGCGGUGAAAUGCGUAAGGAUAAGGAGGAACACCGGUGGCGAGAGCGGAUUGUUAGCCUGCAACUGACACUGAGGCGCGAAAGCGUGGGGAGCAAACAGG